rnacentral:rRNA from 1 species
GGAAUAUUGGACAAUGGGCGCAAGCCUGAUCCAGCCAUGCCGCGUGUGUGAAGAAGGCCUUCGGGUUGUAAAGCACUUUCAGCGAGGAGGAAGGGUGAUGUGUUAAUAGCACAUCAUUUUGACGUUACUCGCAGAAGAAGCACCGGCUAACUCUGUGCCAGCAGCCGCGGUAAUACAGAGGGUGCAAGCGUUAAUCGGAAUUACUGGGCGUAAAGCGCACGUAGGCGGUUAGUUAAGUUGGAUGUGAAAGCCCCGGGCUCAACCUGGGAAUUGCAUUCAAAACUGGCUAACUAGAGUAUGUGAGAGGGGGGUAGAAUUCCAAGUGUAGCGGUGAAAUGCGUAGAGAUUUGGAGGAAUACCAGUGGCGAAGGCGGCCCCCUGGCACAAUACUGACGCUGAGGUGCGAAAGCGUGGGGAGCAAACAGGAUUAGAUACCCUAG